ACACAUGCAAGUCGAACGGACUUUUUGGAAGGAAAUUUUCGGAUGGAAUUCCUAAAAGUUAGUGGCGGACGGGUGCGUAACGCGUGGGUAACCUACCCUUGCGCCGGGGACAACAGUUGGAAACGACUGCUAAUACCGGAUGUGAUCUUGAGGCGGCAUCGCUUUGAGAUGAAAGGUGGCCUCUAUUUAUAAGCUACCGCGCAAGGAUGGACCCGCGUCUGAUUAGCUAGUUGGUGAGGUAACGGCUCACCAAGGCGACGAUCAGUAGCCGGCCUGAGAGGGUGGCCGGCCACAUUGGGACUGAGACACGGCCCAAACUCCUACGGGAGGCAGCAGUGGGGAAUCUUCCGCAAUGGGCGAAAGCCUGACGGAGCAACGCCGCGUGAGUGAAGAAGGCCUUCGGGUCGUAAAGCUCUGUCUUCAGGGAAGAACCGUCAUAGCGUGAAUAAUGCUAUGGCCUGACGGUACCUGAGGAGGAAGCUCCGGCUAACUACGUGCCAGCAGCCGCGGUAAUACGUAGGGAGCGAGCGUUGUCCGGAAUUACUGGGCGUAAAGGGCGCGUAGGCGGGAAUUUAAGUAAGGUGUGAAAACUCCGGGCUCAACCUGGAGACUGCACUUUAAACUGGAUUUCUUGAGGGCAGGAGAGGAAAGUGGAAUUCCUAGUGUAGCGGUGAAAUGCGUAGAUAUUAGGAGGAACACCAGUGGCGAAGGCGACUUUCUGGACUGUACCUGACGCUGAGGCGCGAAAGCGUGGGGAGCGAACAGG
rnacentral:rRNA from 1 species